rnacentral:lncRNA from 1 species
GUGAUCUUUCUCAAAAAUCUGCAGUAACCUUAGCAAACUAUGGUAGAUCACCACAGGUUUCGUCAUUCUAUAACGACUGAGAAAGGAUAGAUAGGAUUUUGGUAGUGAACUGAGGAUAGCAUCAUUGCCUAACUAUUCAUACAAUGGAAAGUCAAAUUUAUUAAGACAUUUAAUCUACUCAAUCAUGUACAAUACAUGAUCGGUGACUGAAGCUCCCUCUCGCAU